rnacentral:rRNA from 1 species
UACAGAGGUCUCAAGCGUUGUUCGGAUUCAUUGGGCGUAAAGGGUGCGUAGGCGGCCUUCUAAGUCAGACGUGAAAAUCCCUCGGCUUAACCGGGGAACUGCGUCUGAUACUGGAGGGCUUGAAUUCGGGAGAGGGAUGUGGAAUUCCAGGUGUAGCGGUGAAAUGCGUAGAUAUCUGGAGGAACACCGGUGGCGAAGGCGGCAUCCUGGACCAACACUGACACUGAGGAGCGAAAGCCAAGGGGAGCGAAACAGGGAGUUAUAAACCCAU